AACGCAAACCACGGGAGUCCGGUGUGCCGGGCUGAGAGGAAGCAACCCAGCUUCGACCGUCGAACCUGAUCCGGAUCAUGCCGGCGCAGGGAGGAGAGAGAUGAUGCGU
rnacentral:ncRNA from 1 species